rnacentral:lncRNA from 1 species
CUUAUAUGAAUAAAAAUAAUAUGACUUUUUUAUUUAACUGUAUUGGUAUAUUAUGUGAAUCCAUUUUUGAAGAAGACAACAUUUGUGGUGGUAAAGCAAAAAUCAAAUAUUUAAUUUCAUUUUUGGAUCAAAAAGACAUAGAAGAAAGAUAUUUAUUAAAAGACAUAAAACGUAUGUACAUGUUUCGGAAUGGUUGUUUUGAGGAUUCUAAAAAGAAUAUUGAUAGUAGUAACAGUAGUAACGGUAGUUGUGAUGGUAACAUUGUAGAAAACAUGACAGAGAUGGAAAAGCAGUGUUAUGAUGGAUCAGAUACAAUUUAUUUUAAAAUUUAUUUUGAUCUUAAAUCAAAUUUAGAAAAUAUGUUUAAACGGAGUAGUAGUUAUUUUAUUUUAGAAGAUUGUGAUUGUAUUCUUAAAUUUUUGCAAAUUAUUCACAUAACUAGAUAUAAAGAUUUACAUAACAUAAAUGUAUUGUUUUAUAGCUUAUGGUUAAAUAGUGAUUUUUUACAGAACUAUCAAGUGAAAAAUAUUUUAUUUUUUUUUUCUUUGUUUAAAAAUAAUUUCAUUUUGAAUAAUAUAAAUUUGAAUAGAUCCAUAUAUAACUAUUUUAAUAAAAAAUUAAUUUAUUUUUUAAGAAAGAAGUUAGAAUUGUAUGUAGAAAAUAAUACGUUAGAAAAUAGUAUUAGGAGUAUAUUGUCUUUAUGUGAUUUGUUAAGUUAUAAUAAAGUUAUGAAGAAGAUAGUGUUAAAAAAAAUAGUGUUGUUAAAUUUUGAUCACAUAAAGCCAAGUUUCUUUUGUCAGUUUUUUUUUUUGUUAAAUAAGUUAAAAUUUGAUGCAAGUAAUGAAAUAUUUACGGAAAUUUUUUUAAAACAUUAUAAAAAAUUUAUUCAUUUGUUAAGUUAUUCAGAAGUUUUAGAAUUAAUAAAAAAUAUGGAAUAUAUAAUAAAAAAGAAAAAAAGAAAAGUAUUUGUUCUUUUGAUUUUAUACUUUUUUAGAAAAUUAAAACAAACACAACAGUUAAAUAUAGGUACUACUAAUUCAAAUCUGAAUGGCAUAACUUUUAGUUAUAUAUUUAAUUUGUUAAAUAUAAUAAACAGAUUCAAAUUGUUUCAAUAUUGUAGGAAGGAGCUCUUUUUUCCAUUAUACUCAUUACUUUGGGGAGAAAAUAUAGAAAUGAUAACUGAUUAUCGCUAUGGUAUGGAAAAUUUGUCUUUUAGUAAUAGCAGUAGUUACACUUUUGUUAUUCAAAAUGGUGAAACUGUGAUGUUACUUCCGAGCGGGUCACGUUAUGGCAUAGGAAACUGCACAUAUGGUAGUGAUAGCACACACCCAAAAUAUCAAGAAAUAACAAAUAACAUAUUUAAUAACAAUUUGAAAUAUACUAACGGAAUGAAAAUAAAAGUAGAACUCUUAAGCACAAGUCAUAUUUUAAAUUUAAUAUUUUUUAACAUGCAAACAAAUAAAAAUAUAUUUUUAAUGAGUGAAUUAUAUACACAAUUAUUUUAUAAGAUAUUACGAAAUGAUACUUUUACAAAAACUGAAUUAUGCCUUUGUUUUAAAAGUAUAUGGGAGUCGAGAGUUAUUCAUUUAAAUUUGUUUAACGUUUUAAUAGAUAUUAUACUAAAUAACAAAAAUUUAGUUACUGAUUCUAUUUUUGCUUUAGAUAUAUUAUUAUGUCUUUGUACUUAUAAAAAUAGUAAAAAUUAUGAUUCGCUAAUUAUUUUUCUAUUUGAUUUAUGUUUUAAACAGAUAGAUAAAAUUUUAAAUAAUAUAAAAAAACAAAUUUUAUUUUAUUAUUGUUUUAUUUUUUUGGAAAUAUAUUACCCGAUGUUAUUUUUAAAAAUUAUGAAACGAAGAACAAGUGACAUAAUCAGGAGGAGUGCUGCUACUACUAGCGGUACACUUGAUCGAUGGGAAAACGAACAAAAAUGUAUAAAUAGAAUGUGUAUUGAACAAACUGGUACUGAUGUGAGGGACGCUCUUAAGAUAAGUUCAAACAAAUUAACAGAUGGUUAUUUGGGGUAUGCCAAAAAGGGAAUUAGCGAAUAUAAUUUGUUACAAAAAACAACUGGUAGUAAAAAAAAGGAUGUGCUUCAAUAUGGAUAUGGAGUUCAGCUUGCUGGGCCUACCGAUCAUGUCAAUCGUGUGGAUCGUCUAGAUCGUCUAGAUCGUCUAGAUCGUCUAGAUCGUCUGGAUCGUCUAGAUAGUCCAGAUAGUCUAGAUAGUCCAGAUAGUCCAGAUAGUCUAGAUAGUCUAGAUCGUGUGAAACUUCCUGAGAUUGACAAACAUAAUGGAAAAAUAAAAAAAGGAACAACAUUCAAUAGAACAAAUCUCAUGUUUGCAUCACAAAAUAUAGAUAUUAAUAAUUUAUAUGAUGAGUUAAAACACCUAAGAAAGAUUUUUUUUUUGCAACAAAGAAAAUAUGCAGUUAGUUAUGAAUUAUUUCCAAUUUAUGAAAUAUUUGAAAAAUUAAAUAUAACAAAAAUGAAAAUUGAUAAUGUUCAUAGUAACGUUAUUUUUAAAAACCAUGAAGUAGAUGAAUUAUUUGUUUUGAAUUUAUUUUUCCCUUUAUUAAAAUUUGCGAUUCAAUUUAAAAAAACAGAUGAGAACACUAAAAAAAUAAUGAAAUUAUCAAGAAUGGUGAAAGGUGUGGGCAUAUUGUUACAGCAUAAUGGUAAUAACAUGAAUGUAUCAAAUGUUAGUAACAAAUUAAGUUUAGAAAAUGAAUUUGUGGAUGGUUCGAAAGAUAACAAUAGUUAUGUUAUUACAAGAGAUAGUCAUUAUUCACAUGACACAAUAAAACAUUCAGCUAACGACAGUAAUCAAUUUAGUAGAGAUUCAGUAAAUUAUAAACCAAAUGAAGAUAGUAUUGAAAUAAUAGCAGAAAAAUUAUAUUUAUAUAAAAAACAUAAAAUAAAUGUUAUGGUAAUACCUAUUGAAAAGGUUCAUCUAUUUUUUAAGUUAAAUGAUAAAGAAAAACAAAACACUAUUAUAAGUGCAUCAAAUAUUAUUUUUGAAAAAGUGCAUAAACAAAUAUUUAAAAAAAAAAAUUAUUCUUUAGAUCAAACAAUCGAGAUAUUGACAUCUCUUUUAAAAAAACAGUUGCACUUUAUUUUUAAGCUUUAACUAUUUACGCUUGAUAAAAUGCAUAUGUAAUUGUCGUGCACUUCUUAUUUUUUUUUUUUUUUUUUUUUUUUUUUUUUUUCCGAAAAGUGUGGUAAGUUAGUUUUGAAUAAAUGUAGCAUGUGAAUGUCUAUAGGUACGUAC